GUAAUUGUUCCAUAUGAUAUAAGGUAGGUGUGAAUGACAUCUCUACAGGAGGGAGAUAUAUAAUGCAGAGGCACUUCGAUAUGGAUGCAAAGAAGAACAGGUGAACAUACAGUUAACAAUGAAACUUACACACACUUCUGUUUUUAUGUUUUUAAUGCUUGGAACUUUUGUCCAUACCUGGCCAUGGAGAAUUCCAAAACAGUACUUACAAAUUAUUCAACAGUGCCAUUGUCCAUCAAAAUGUGUAUGGAAACUGCGGUCUUGCCUACAGACAGGAAAAUGUGAACUCUGUCGGAAACCACCAUAUGGAAAACGACAGGAUUCCCACAUGUCAGCCAUUGAAUCCUCAGAUUAUCGCAAGCAAAAGACGUUUGAAGAUUUACCUAUGAUUGUUCUGUAAUAAACAGAUUUGUCCGAAAGGGAAAUUCAGCUCAUCGUUUUAUAUGCUGUUUUUUUUUAAAUAGAUUUUUAUUGAAA